rnacentral:rRNA from 1 species
AUGAUUAAAAUUGAUCUUGCAAAGGCUUUUGAUCGCUUAGAAUGGAACUUUAUUGUCUCGGCUCUUGCUAGAAAAGGGUUGCAAAGCCAUUUCAUUAAUUUAAUCUAUGCAUGUAUCUCUACGGCCUCCUUCUCUGUUAUCAUUAAUGGUCGAUCAUAUGCAAAAUUCAGGAAUAGCAGAGGCAUUAGGCAAGGUUGUCUUUCGUCAUACCUUUUUGUACUGGUCAUAAAUGAGUUGUCUCUCUCUCUUCAGGAAGCAAUGGUAUCUAACCAACUCACAGGAGUUGCUCUUGGUCCGAAUUGCCCUCCUAUACACUCACUAAUGUUUGCAGAUGACUUCUUAGUUUGUGGGCAAGCUACUACUCAAGAGGCAACAACCAUGAGUCAAAUCAUUCAAGCAUUCUGU